GUGCUCACUUUGGCAGCACCUAUACUUAAAAAUUGGAACAAUACAGAGGAGAUUAACAUGGCCCCUGCACAAGGAUGACACGCAAAUUCGCGAAGUGUUCCAUAUUAAA